rnacentral:rRNA from 1 species
AGACGUCUACAUUAGAUACCCCUGUAGUCCCAGCCGUAAACUAUGCGCGUUAGGUGUAUCGGUGACCACGAGUCACCGAGGUGCCGAAGGGAAACCGUGAAACGUGCCGCCUGGGAAGUACGGUCGCAAGGCUGAAGCUUAAAGGAAUUGGCGGGGAGCACCACAACGGGUGGAGCCUGCGGUUUAAUUGGACUCAACGCCGGGAAGCUCACCGGAUAAGACAGCGGAAUGAUUGCCGGGCUGAAGACUCUGCAUGACUAGCUG